CAGGCGUCUACUGGUGUGUUUACACAAAAUUCAAUAAAGCCACAUAUGAAAAUGACAUCAACCAAGGAAGAGGCUCCACUCUGGUCGUGGUGAAUGGUAGAUACGAUGCCCUCCAGCUGCCAUGCCCCACAGCUACUGCAGUAACACUGACCCCCUUUCACUCAGCCAACAAGAAGCCGUGCCCAUCCGGCGUGGAAAGCAUCAUCAUCAUCAUCAUCAUCACCAGCAUCUUGACCACCCUGAUAUGUGCCGUCAUCUUCCUCGUCUGGUUCGCUCCACUGGUGAAGAGGUGCUGUAACCAGGGAGGAUACACACCACAGGUCUUUCCUGACUCGGUCUAUGAAGACAUGGCCCGGAAUCACAUUUAUCCAUCAGGCACACAGCAGUGUUUUUAGGUCACUGGACCCCUCAUCAAGCUGUUCCUGUGCAUGUUGUCUGCACACAAAGUCAAAAGAGCUUCGAUGUUAAAAUGAGAACAGUUUGUUAAGAUUUGUAUUAUAUUCUAUCAUAGGUACAAAUAUUUUAGCUGCCUAAACUUUCAGGUACAUUAGGAUAUAAGCCA
ensembl:lncRNA